rnacentral:rRNA from 1 species
UACGUAGGGUGCGAGCGUUAAUCGGAAUUACUGGGCGUAAAGGGUGCGCAGGCGGUUCUGUUAGUCAGAUGUGAAAUCCCUGGGCUUAACCUGGGAAUUGCGUUUGAAACUGCAGAUCUAGAGUGUGGCAGAGGGGGGUGGAAUUCCAUGUGUAGCAGUGAAAUGCGUAGAGAUAUGGAGGAACAUCGAUGGCGAAGGCAACCCCCUGGGUUAACACUGACGCUCAGGCACGAAAGCGUGGGGAGCAAACAGG